AGCUCCGAAGUGUUUGUCACAUGAAAUUGCAAAUUUCAAGGAGCAAACUAGUCGUUUGCCGGGGCUU
rnacentral:tRNA from 1 species